CUUUAUUAAGCUCUACACUGAUAUGCUGAAAGAUAAGGACAGUUACACUAGUCACGAUUUUUAUUCCUUUCUUCUCUUUGUCCUAUGUGUUUUUCCAUGUUAACACAUAGAGUUCCUGGUGCCCAGCAGCCCACUGAACAUUUUUGAGGCAGGAACUAUGGCAGGGAGGUGAACCCAUGCCAGUGAGAAAAAACACCUUCUUCCCCUCCGUGAGAAGAGUGAGGAUCUGCUGUAGAUGUGCCUUCAGUGAGGAACUAGUCUCUGUGUUUUUGAUCCUUAGGUAGCAGAGGGGGAAACCACCACUAGUCUCUAAAGACAUGCAGCCUGAUUAACCCUACAUGUCUCAUUCCAUCUGCUAAGCUGCAAAUGCAUUUUUAAUUUCUCGUUCAUAUUGCUUUGCAGACCUGGUGGAGCUCCUUUGGACCAGCUGCUCUCUGGUGCUGGGGGCUGAUGCCUACUAGAAAAAAAGUGGAAUUGAAGAAAGUUAAAAUACAGUAGAGGAGGAGAGAGUGUCUUCCAUAGCACAAUGGUCACAGUGCUGAGUCCCUGCCCUCAAGAGAUGAUGGAGGCCACCAGGAUGAAACAAGUAAGAGAGCUGAACAAAUGCCUUGAACACCACUGUCCAGUCAGUUUGAAAAGCGAAGCAUUCUCCUUGGCAUAACACAUCAUUCAACAAGUGGUUCAACCUCUUGUCAGCUUCAGCAUGCCAGAUGGCUUCUCAAUUCCUGAGAUCGUGGUCCUCCUUCAUUGGAUGCAUUAGAAGAAAAGCCAUAUCUGCAGGCUUAGUGCCUGGAAAUCAGAGCCUCUGUGAAUCUGUGUCCAGAAGCAGGACUUUGUGGACAUCUGUUGGUGGCUGCUUCCAGCAUAAACAGGGCCUGGUACCAAGAGUAACUGCUGAAGUUUCCAGUGCUACAGCAACGAAAGAGCAAAAUUGGGUGCCUGGAGGAAAAGUAAUCUGGUUCAGCUGAGCUCUGUCUGAAAAGCAGGUUACCAUAGCUUAAUGAAUUAUCCUGAGUUUGCAGAACAACGUGUUCUCUUACCUGAAAGGUAAGAUAAAGCUACGUUGAAAAAAAGAAAAAGAGUAUUUCAUUAAUGUUUAAAACAGCUAACCUGGUGUUUGCCACAUCUUGAGUGCAUGCCUGGCUGCAGUCAGUGGCUGUCUGCCUGGUGCUCAUCAAGAGAUGGCAGUGUUUCUGUGCAGAGGCAGUGUUUCUAUUGCUGGAUCUUCAUUUACCACAGUGUCUGACAGAAGGGCGUUCUGACUACACAGAAAUAUACUUUUUAUAAUCACCUCUAAGAAUAUUAUGACAGACGAUUAAUAAUCUGACAGCAAAGUAACUAUUUUUAAUGGCUUAAACUGAACACUUUAUUUCAUCUUUGAACCAAUUCUCACUGUAAUCCCAUUACUGCAAUAAAAGUUUGGGUAGCAGGAUCA
rnacentral:lncRNA from 1 species